rnacentral:rRNA from 1 species
AUUGAACGCUGGCGGCAGGCUUAACACAUGCAAGUCGAGCGAGCGGCGGACGGGUGAGUAAUGUCUGGGAAACUGCCUGAUGGAGGGGGAUAACUACUGGAAACGGUAGCUAAUACCGCAUACCAUCAGAUGUGCCCAGAUGGGAUUAGCUAGUAGGUGGGGUAAUGGCUCACCUAGGCGACGAUCCCUAGCUGGUCUGAGAGGAUGACAAGAAACACUGGAACUGAGAGACGUCACAGACCCAGACGUGAGGCAGCAGUGGGGAAUAUGGCACAAUGGGCGCAAGCCGGAUGCAGCCAUGCCGCGGGGGUGAAGAAGGCUUUCGGGUUGUAAAGCACUUUCAGCGAGGAGGCUUUCCUCGCAGAAGAAGCACCGGCUAACGCCGUGCCAGCCGCCGCGGUAAUAC